ACAGAGCCCGUGAAUCCGGGCGCGCGGAAUUCAGGACCGACGGGCGGCGGGACGCGCGUUCGCGCGCGCGCCCCGCUCUCGUCGAUUCGAUAUUUCCGCCGCCGACCCUCUUUUUAACCAGGGGGUGCCGGACGUCGCGACCCGUUCGCGUCGACACUCGAGGGGCGCGUUUCAAGUUCGUCUUUCGCCUCGGCGGCCGUUUCGGCGGUCGCCGGGCGGCGACGAUGGCGCGCAUUCCCCGCGUAUGUCGGCCUCGCGGACGGUAGCUUUGCGCGCGGGUAUUCGACGCGGCCCGUGUCCGUCGUUCGGGCGUCUCUCUCUCUUCCGGGGGGGGGCGGCGCUCGGGCGGCGCGCGCUCGCGUCGACGCCGGUCAGCGACGAAUCUUCGGGCCUCUUUCCGACCCGUCUUGAAACACGGACCAAGGAGUCUAACGUGCGCGCGAGUCGCGGGGUAUCCGAGUCGUUAAUAUUUAAAAAAACGCGACUCGUCACGAUACGAAACCCGUGUACGUACGUUGUGCGAAGGCGUAAUGAAAGUGAAAGGCGGCGCUUCGCGCGCCGCCGGGGAAGACGGUGCUUCCGAGUACACGUUCCGCGGUCGCAUAGGUACCGCGGCCGGACACCCGCACUCCCGGGGCGUCCCGUCCGUACGUCGGCGGCGCGGACGGUCGUUUCGGCGGCCGUCGGCCGUCGUCGAACUGGGGCGCACCUACAGCGUGCACGUUGGUACCCGAAAGAUGGUGAACUAUGCCCGGCCAGGAU
rnacentral:rRNA from 1 species